CCUACGGGCGGCAGCAGUGGGGAAUAUUGCGCAAUGGGGGAAACCCUGACGCAGCAACGCCGCGUGAGUGAAGACGUAUCUCGGUAUGUAAAGCUCUAUCAGCGGGGAAGAAGGAAGACGGUACCCGACUAAGAGGCCCCGGCUAACUACGUGCCACCAGCCGCGGUAAUACGGAGGGGGCAAGCGUUAUCCGGAUUUACUGGGUGUAAAGGGAGCGUAGAGGGGGUCGCAAGUCUGAAGUGAAAGCCCGUGGCUCAACCGCGGAACCGCAUUGGAAACUGGGUGGCUUGAGUGCUGGAGAGGUAAGCGGAAUGCCUGGUGUAGCGGUGAAAUGCGUAGAUAUCAGGAGGAACACCGGUGGCGAAGGCGGCUUACUGGACAGUGACUGACGUUGAGGCUCGAAAGCGUGGGGAGCGAACAGGAUUAGAUACCCGAGUAGUC
rnacentral:rRNA from 1 species